rnacentral:ncRNA from 1 species
UUAAAGUUUUAUUCUGGCUUUAAAUUAUCCUUUAAGAAUGUUUUAUAUAUGMGUUUUUUAUUUAAUAUUUCUUUUUAUAGUAUUUAUAUUUGAAUAUUAAGUUAUUUYAGAYUCAGUAAUUCUUAUAGUAAGGGCAAAUGUCGUGCCAGCAGCUGCGGUUAUACGUUAUUUUCUAGGAUAAUUUUUUYSSSGGCAGUUUAAUUGUUUGUUGGUUAUUUAUUUUAUAAUAUUUGGUGGAAUAWWAYYGUUUUAUAUUUUUCUUUUUUYUCUGCYAUAGCUAUUUUAUAAACUAGGAUUAGAUACCCYAUUAUUUUAGAUUUAAUUUUUUUCUCAGGGUAGUAUUAGAUUAUUUGAAACCUAAAGAAUUUGGCGGCAUUUUAUCUUUUUAGAGGAACCUGUUUUGUGAAUGAUAUUACACGAUUUGCUCUACUAAAUUAUUGGUUUGUAUAUUUCCGUUAUUAGAGGAUUUAUUGAUAAUAUUUUCUUGUUUUUUUUAAAAAUUGAUUUCAGGUCAAGGUGCAGCUUAUUUUUUAGUAAAUUAUGGGUUACAAUAAUUUAAUUUAUACGGAUAUUUUUUUUUAAAUUUUWAAUUGAAGGUGGAUUUAUUAGUAAUUUUUAAUAAUUAUUAAAUUUGAAUUAGUUAUAAUAUGUGUACAUAUCGCCCGUCACUCUCAUUUUUUGAGAUAAGUCGUAACAAAGUUGAUUAACUGGAAAGUUAAUCUGGAUUAU